AUAUGCGGGUGUAGCUCAAUGGUAGAGUUCUGGCCUUCCAAGCCAGCUGUGAGGGUUCGAUCCCCUUCACCCGCUCCAAAAAUGGGACCAUAGCUCAGCUGGGAGAGCACCUGCCUUACAAGCAGGGGGUCACAGGUUCGAGCCCUGUUGGUCCCACCAUUUGCGGCCUGGUAGUUCAGUUGGUUAGAAUGCCAGCCUGUCACGCUGGAGGUCGAGGGUUCGAGCCCCUUCCAGGUCGCCAAAAUAAAAUGCUGGUGUGGCUCAACGGUAGAGCAGCUGACUUGUAAUCAGCAGGUUGUAGGUUCGAUUCCUAUCACCAGCUCCAUAUAAAAUUAAUACGGAGGAUUUCCCGAGCGGCCAAAGGGGGCAGACUGUAAAUCUGUUGUCAUCGACUUCGGUGGUUCGAAUCCACCAUCCUCCACCAAAAAAAUGCGCGGAUGUGGCGGAAUUGGCAGACGCACUAGACUUAGGAUCUAGCGCCAUUGGCGUGGGGGUUCGACUCCCUUCAUCCGCACCAUUUUUGUUUGAUAUACAUAUAUAAAUUGUGGGUGCAUAGCUCAGCUGGAUAGAGCAACGCCCUUCUAAGGCGUGUGUCCGGGGUUCAGUCGCGGAUAGAUCACCAAUGGAGAGGUGGGAUUAGCCAAGUCGGUAAGGCACAUGACUUUGACUCAUGUAUGCGUAGGUUCGAGUCCUGCAUCCCCAGCCAAAUGAUGUAUUACUAAGCUAUAUUUGAAUUAUUUUUAUUUUAAAUAUAGUUAGGUUCAAUUUUAGAAUAAGUUUAAGUAUCCGAAUGUGGAGAGGUGUCCGAGUGGUUUAAGGAGCUGGUCUUGAAAACCAGUGACUUCGAAAGGGGCCGUGGGUUCGAAUCCCACCCUCUCCGCCAAAUGCCCAGAUAGCUCAGUCGGUAGAGCAGGGGACUGAAAAUCCCCGUGUCGGUGGUUCGAUUCCGCCUCUGGGCACCAAAAUAUGGCGGUAUAGCUUAGUUGGCUAGAGCGUUCGGUUCAUACCCGAAAGGUCAUAGGUUCGACUCCUAUUACCGCUACUAAAAUUUAAUGUGGGCCAUUAGCUCAGUUGGUUAGAGCGCCCGGCUCAUAACCGGUAGGUCUGGGGUUCGAGUCCCUGAUGGCCCACCACAUUAAAUUAAUUAAUAUAAAUUCGAGGUGUAGCGCAGUUUGGUAGCGCACAUGGUUUGGGACCAUGGGGCCGGGGGUUCGAGUCCCUUCACCUCGACCAAUAUAAGGUGGGUAUAGCUCAGUUGGUUAGAGCGCCAGAUUGUGGCUCUGGAGGUCGUGAGUUCGACUCUCAUUAUCCACCCCAAUUCAUAUGGUCUAUUAGCUCAGUCGGUAGAGCACCUGACUUUUAAUCAGGGUGUCCCGCGUUCGAGUCGCGGAUAGAUCACCAAAAAGGUGGCGACAUAGCCAAGUGGUAAGGCAGUGGACUGCAACUCCUUGAUCCCCAGUUCGAAUCNNNNNAAUCGAAGCAGUGAACUUAAGCCCCAGUAAACGGCGGCCGUAACUAUAACGGUCCUAAGGUAGCGAAAUUCCUUGUCGGGUAAGUUCCGACCCGCACGAAAGGCGUAACGAUUUGGGCACUGUCUCAACAACAGACUCGGUGAAAUUGUAAUUCCGGUGAAGAUGCCGGAUACCUGCGACAGGACGGAAAGACCCCAUGGAGCUUUACUGUAGCUUGACAUUGGGUCUUGGUACUACAUGUACAGGAUAGGUGGGAGGCUUUGAAACCAGGACGCCAGUUUUGGCGGAGCCAUCCUUGGGAUACCACCCUUGUAGUACUGGGACUCUAACCAUAGGCCAUGAAUCUGGUCUUGGGACACUGUCAGGUGGGCAGUUUGACUGGGGCGGUCGCCUCCCAAAAGGUAACGGAGGCGCUCAAAGGUUCUCUCAGUACGGUCGGAAAUCGUACGUAGAGUGUAAAGGCAAAAGAGAGCUUGAUUGCAAGACAUACAGGUCGAGCAAGGAUGAAAAUCGGACUUAGUGAUCCGGUGGUUCUGCGUGGAAGGGCCAUCGCUCAACGGAUAAAAGCUACCCUGGGGAUAACAGGCUUAUCUCCCCCAAGAGUCCACAUCGACGGGGAGGUUUGGCACCUCGAUGUCGGCUCAUCACAUCCUGGGGCUGUAGUAGGUCCCAAGGGUUGGGCUGUUCGCCCAUUAAAGUGGUACGCGAGCUGGGUUCAGAACGUCGUGAGACAGUUCGGUCCCUAUCCGUCGCAGGCGUAGGAAAUUUGAGAAGACCUGUCCUUAGUACGAGAGGACCGGGAUGGACGUACCUCUGGUGUACCAGUUGUCCUGCCAAGGGCAUGGCUGGGUAGCUAUGUACGGAAUGGAUAAGCGCUGAAAGCAUCUAAGCGCGAAGCCAACUUCAAGAUAAGAUUUCCCACCGCAAGGGUAAGACCCCAGAAAGACUAUCUGGUUGAUAGGUCGAAGGUGUAAGUGCAGCAAUGUAUUUAGCUUAUCGAUACUAAUAGGUCGAGGACUUGACCAA
rnacentral:rRNA from 1 species